rnacentral:rRNA from 1 species
UACCAGCACCCCGAGUGGUCGGGACGAUUAUUGGGCCUAAAGCAUCCGUAGCCGGUUCUAUAAGUCCUCCGUUAAAUCCAUCUGCUUAACAGAUGGGCUGCGGAGGAUACUAUAGAGCUAGGAGGCGGGAGAGGCAAGCGGUACUCAGUGGGUAGGGGUAAAAUCCGUUGAUCCAUUGAAGACCACCAGUGGCGAAGGCGGCUUGCCAGAACGCGCUCGACGGUGAGGGAUGAAAGCUGGGGGAGCAAACCGGAUUAGAUACCCGGGUAGUCCCAGCUGUAAACGAUGCAGACUCGGUGAUGAAUAGGCUUAGUGCCUAUUCAGUGCCGCAGGGAAGCCGUUAAGCUGCCGCCUGGGGAGUACGGUCGCAAGACUGAAACUUAAAGGAAUUGGCGGGGAGCACCACAAGGGGUGAAGCCUGCGGUUC